UACGAAGGGGGCUAGCGUUGCUCGGAAUUACUGGGCGUAAAGGGCGCGUAGGCGGCACUGUUAGUCAGGCGUGAAAGCCCCGGGCUUAACCUGGGAACGGCAUUGGAAACUGGCGGGCUUGAGUGCGGCAGAGGGGGGUGGAAUUCCGCGUGUAGCAGUGAAAUGCGUAGAGAUGCGGAGGAACACCGAUGGCGAAGGCAGCCCCCUGGGUCGACACUGACGCUCAGGCACGAAAGCGUGGGGAGCAAACAGG
rnacentral:rRNA from 1 species